UACGUAGGGGGCCAGCGUUGUCCGGAAUCAUUGGGCGUAAAGCGCGCGUAGGCGGCCAGAUAAGUCCGGUGUGAAAGUCAAAGGCUCAACCUUUGAAUGCCGCUGGAAACUGCCUGGCUUGAGUCCGGAAGGGGCGAGUGGAACUCCUGGUGUAGCGGUGGAAUGCGCAGAUAUCAGGAAGAACACCGACGGCGAAGGCAGCUCGCUGGGACGGUACUGACG
rnacentral:rRNA from 1 species